CAGCCCUGCCCACUGGGUGAAACUGCAAGUCGAGAGCGUGGGAAACCAGCAAGUUGAGAGAGGAUCCAGAAGUAACCCCUUCUAAAACGGGAAAGAUGCCUUCCGAAAGGGAGAAGACCACAGAAGCUCUGCAUUUGGAACUUUUCCUGGAUUCUGUCCCAUUUGCUUCUUCCCAUGGCUGAUUUUGAUCUGGAUGAUGCGGAAGAGGCUUCAGGAAGAUGUAACUCUUUCCUUGUGGCUGUGACCAUUUUAUAGACUGGUUUCCAGGCUCAGCAGGCACACAGCAUCAGGGCCUUCACUGCAUUUCUUCCUAGAAGCCAGAGACCAAAAUGCAUGUGACAGCUCAAGAAUUUUUCUAGCAGUUGGUUGCUGCUGCUCACUCCACCCACAGAAAGAAAAACUAAAAGGAAUUUUACCCUUGGUGUCGCAGUUACUUUUUGGACAGGGGCAACUGCAACUGUGAAAUGGCUGAGUCAGGAAACUUCCUCUGUCUUUAAGACAAAAUUGCUCUAGGCUAGUGUAAUUAGUGAUGUGAAGCCUUUCUUCCCAACCCCAAAUCCCCUAAAGUCCUCUUAUUUAAAUAUCUGCCCCCCUAUUUCCAGCUGUCUCCUCUCAAAAGCCCAUCCUUUAUAAACCCGGUGUCAGAUUGUUUCAUUUUAUUAGGUUGAACCAUGUGAAAUGGCUGAUGGUUCCACCUAAUCUAGUUAGAGAGUUUCUUUUGAGAAACAGAGGAACAUCACAGUGAAUAAGAACUGGAGACAGCAUUACUUCUUGGAAGAGAGGCAGUGAAGCUGGAGGAAAGCAGCACCCAGCACUGUUCCCAGGUGUGGGCACUGCAGCCUGUGUGCAGAUGCCUAGACUCCAGCCUCAGCCUGAGAAGCAGUUGCUGGUUGGAGUUGGGAGGAAAUAUGCCAGGCUCUGAGGAGCAUCAGCUUCGCUAAUGAUUCACAAAACCCUAUGAAGUCAAAGCAGGUUGUUGUGGUUGAAAAAUGCAAAGCAACCGUGUCUUCAUCAGAGUUACAAAACAUUGCCCAUAUGCACACACUAAGAGCACUUUCAACCUGCUGUAUUUCCUUCGCUUGGGCAAAUGCUAGGCUUUGAUUUCUUUCUUCUUUUUUUCCCCCUCUCAUGUUCUUUAUGGCAGUGCUUUCCCAGUCUAGAAAGGUUUGCAUUUCCUCACAUCCUUCUCUUAGGCUGAGCAUGGUUAUUGCAUGACUUAAAUCAAAGCAAUAACGAAACCAAACCAAACCAAACAAAAACUCAACAGCUCUGAUAGAGCAUGUAGAAACUAGCUGGUUGGGAAACAAAUGUAACCUUUUAAUCUGUUAAGGAUUGAGUUCUAAGUUGAUUCAUGCCAAUGAAUAACCAGGAAAAUGAAGAUCACAGUUUGAAUGGUUGACUUUUGCUUUUUCUCCUUAGGAUCAUGGUAAAGUUGUAAUUCAUGCACAUGUUUGUCACAGCACAGGCCACGUGGUAUUUUAUUGGGAUUGAUUUAGCUAAAGGCCACUGAUGGAUGGAAUUCUUUGGAUUGUGUAUCUUUUUCAGCAAACAACAUGCUACUAAGGAAAGACCCUCUUUUCCUUGUGUCCUCAUGAAAUUUGCACCAAAUAGAAAUCAGAGAAGGCAUUCAAUUCUUGGGUAGUGGUGCCAUCGGCCUCUGUACCCAAGAGCUUCUCUGCAAUGUCCCAGAAGACUGACCUUUCUCUGGUUAUGGCUCUUUGUUAUGCAAACUGCAAGACAUCCGGUGCCACAUCAGUGAUCCUGGUCUUGGUUCUGUUGUAGAAAACUUGGUUCUGUUGUAGAAAGUUUACUUGAACCCAGCCCCACAGAACACACUGGAAAUAGCUCACUAUGCUAGUGAAGGAAACAAAAAUAUUUCACCCCAAAAUAUACUUCUUUGACGUACUUUGAGAUGACUGUUCAGAGGACCUGCGAACACAAGUAGCCCUGCAAAGCUGUCUUUUGUUGGGGAGAUUUACAUCUGUAGAGGAAAUAAAGUGAGGUAAACAACAGAUGCAAACAGGCUUUCUUUGAAGCCCCCCCUUGUUUGGGUCCAGGAAAGAUUAACUGAGCCUGACACCCAUCUAUUCUUCCUGAGGGUUGCUACCUCUGAGGUUUUAUCUGCAUAUCAAGACUGCCUUUGCUCUGAGCUUUGGUUAAUAAAUGCUGGAAAAAAAAGACCGCCUUUGUUAGCCAAGCCUAUCCUCUUCUCUCCCUCCUGUAACCUGUCUUGCCACCAUAACAUGUUUUCCCACCUUCCAAG